AUUGAACGCUGGCGGCAUGCCUUACACAUGCAAGUCGAACGGUAACGGGCCUUCGGGUGCCGACGAGUGGCGGACGGGUGCGUAAUACAUCGGAACGUGCCCGAUCGUGGGGGAUAACGAGGCAAAAGCUGUGCUAAUACCGCAUACGAUCUACGGAUGAAAGCAGGGGACCGCAAGGCCUUGCGCGGACGUAGCGGCAGAUGGCAGAUUAGGUAGUUGGUGGGAUAAAAGCUUACCAAGCCGACGAUCUGUAGCUGGUCUGAGAGGAUGAUCAGCCACACUGGGACUGGGACACGGCCCAGACUCCUACGGGAGGCAGCAGUGGGGAAUUUUGGACAAUGGGCGCAAGCCUGAUCCAGCCAUGCCGCGUGGAGGAUGAAGGCCUUCGGGUUGUAAACUGCUUUUGUACGGAACGAAAAGCCUUCUUUUAAUACAGGAGGGUCAUGACGGUACCGUAAGAAUAAGCACCGGCUAACUACGUG
rnacentral:rRNA from 1 species